GGCGCAUUGGCCUAAUGGCUAAGGCGUUGCUUUCCGGCUACUCUAAGAAACUUAGAUAAUUCUGGUCUGGCAAAGACUCCAGGUUCGAGUCCUGGAUGCGUCG
rnacentral:tRNA from 1 species